CUCUUUCUUUUUUUUUUGUUUUGUUUUUGGAAGGUGACUCUUCAUCUGGAAAUUGAAACUCGUACCUCAGAUAUAUCGCCGCAAAUUCUUUAGCACAACGACUCUUCCUCUUUCAAUUGAAACUUUGAAACUCGUAACCUCAUUAAUUAGCCGCAAAUUAGUUGAAUUCUUCACGGUUCCCUUUGCCCAGCAAACUAAAUAGAUGGGUAUAAGAAAGCUUUUCAAAAACUCAUUACCUUUAGGGUUUUCAAGCAACAAAAUAUGGAAGAUGAGUUUGUGUCUGUUACUUCACCUCUGGCCAACGAAAAGGGGAACAAAUGACGUAUAUUGGAUAGUAACGGUAACUACGUCUCUUUAGUCUGUGUGGAUUCUUCCAGGUUGGUACUCAAAUUUGUUCCUUAAUCUAAUUCUAUUAUGUGAUAGUCUGUGUAUUCUGUGAUAGUCAGUUGCUUCGGUCUUAUUGAUUGUUAAUUUAUUUAUCUUCUUCGCCUUUUCAAAAUAAAAGACAGUAAAGCAGACACUGCUCAUACACCAAAAGGAAAGAAUGCUGAUUGUGGUGAAUGGAAUCCUAUGCUCUUCAAAACAGAAGAUGAAGAUAAACAUAAAAUUGAGUGUAACUCGCAAAAAACAUCUUUUGAUGAUUUGGGACAGCAGGCAAACAACUCGUAAGUUAUUCUAUUUUAAUUUACUUUUUUAAAAAAUUUCAUCAAUAUGUCGUCUAAUGCUGAAACUAAAAUGUAGGAAUGAUUGUGCAAUAUGGGUGAUAACAUGGAUGGAGAAAAUGAAGGCGGAUGUGUAUAAGAUUGAUGUACCUUACUCUUAAUUAAUAAGUUGAACACUUUCAAAUUAUGUGAAUUUAACCAAUGACAACAAGAUUUUAUUUUUUAGGUUGAUGAUCGUACACGAUUAAGAGUUGCCUUAAAUUUGACAAUGAAUUCCUACAACAAGCUGAAUGAUGAGAUUUUGGCGAGGUCGAUGCAACAAAUUGACAAGCGGGGAAAAGCUUAAGAGGGUUAUAUUUGGUAGUAUUUUGCUGGAUGAUGUGAUGAAUUUUGAAGAGUUGUAAUAUUGAGUAAUAUUGACUUAGUAUUUUGCUGGUUAUUAACUAUGUAGCAACUACGUUUGGUAGUUGACUAUGGUUUUUAAUUUGAACAUCGAUAUGAUGUAAUUGGAAUAUUUUUGGUACAUUUAUCACUUUAGUAUCAGUCUGUGUGAUGACCACUUUUCUGUUGGAAUUUGUCUCUCUAAAUUGCAGCUUGUUUUGGCGGUUUCUAUUAUUACAUUAAUAUAUUUAAGUUCUCUAAAGGGUUAUCGUAAUUGGAACUGUUGUUCAUGGUUCUGCGUUGGCAGCCAUGUUUUUAUGAUUUUAACCUCAAAUGCUCCCUUUUGUAUUCUGUUUUUGGUUGUAUCUCAAAAUGCCUUUGUCCAAUUAUCUCAGGUUAGAAGCGAGAUAAAGCUUCUAAGGCCUGAGAGGUAGCAUUUAAGGUCGUGCUCAUCUGUUUGGAUCAGAAUCAGUCCUAUUUCGCUUACAUUUAAGGUCGUGCUCAUCUGUUUUGUCUCCUUUGUAUUUGGGAGUUUAGUUUUUGUUGUAGUGACUGGCCGCAUAUUCUGUGUUUGUUAUCCAGCUGAUUGUAG
rnacentral:lncRNA from 1 species